UACGUAGGGGGCAAGCGUUGUCCGGAAUCAUUGGGCGUAAAGAGCGUGUAGGCGGCUUGGUAAGUCCGCUGUGAAAGUCCAGGGCUCAACCCUGGAAUGCCGGUGGAAACUGUCAAGCUUGAGUCCGGAAGAGGCGAGUGGAAUUCAUGGUGUAGCAGUGAAAUGCGUAGAGAUCAUGAGGAAGACCAGUGGCGAAGGCGGGUCUCUGGACAGUUCCUGACACUGAGACACGAGGGCCAGGGGAGCAAACGGG
rnacentral:rRNA from 1 species